rnacentral:rRNA from 1 species
GAGGACCGAACCGACUAAUGUUGAAAAAUUAGCGGAUGACUUGUGGCUGGGGGUGAAAGGCCAAUCAAACCGGGAGAUAGCUGGUUCUCCCCGAAAGCUAUUUAGGUAGCGCCUCGUGAAUUCAUCUUCGGGGGUAGAGCACUGUUUCGGCUAGGGGGUCAUCCCGACUUACCAACCCGAUGCAAACUACGAAUACCGAAGAAUGUUAUCACGGGAGACACACGGCGGGUGCUAACGUCCG